AGAGCCCCAUAGAGAAUCAUAGGGUCCCAUAGGGACCCAUAAAUCCCACAUAGGGACCCAUAGAGACGCAUAAGGAUCCAUAGAGACAGGGGGGUCCCACAUAGGGACACAUAGAGACUCAUAGAUACCCCAUAGAGACCCAUAGGGACCUAAGGGAACCAUAGGGACCCAUAGAGACCCAUAGGGACCCAAAGAAACCCAUAGAGACCCAUAGGUCCCCCAUAGAGCCCCAUAGAACCCCAUAGAGACGCAUAUGGUACCAUAGGGACCCAUAGAUCCCACAUAGGGACCCAUAGAGUCCCAUAGGGACCCACAGCGACAGGGGGGUCCCACAUAGGGACACGUGAAGCCCCUUAGGUCCCCAUAGAGACCCAUAGAUCCCACAUAUGGACCCAUAGAGCCCCAUAGAGAGCCAUAGGUCCCCCAUAGGGACAGAUAGAACCCUAUAGAGACCCAUAGGGACCCAUAGAAACCCAUAGAGCCCCAUAGAUCCCACAAAGGGACCCAUAGAUCCCCAUAGGGACACAUAGGUCCCCAUAGGGGCCCAUAGAAACCCAUAGAGCCCCAUAGAUCCCCAUAGAGAUGCAUACGGUCCCAUAGGGACACAUAGAUCCCACAUAGGGACCCAUAGAGAUCCAUAGAGACACAUACAGCCCAUAGAGACCCAUAGACGCGUAGGGACCCAUAGAUCCCACAUAGGGACCCAUAGAGUCCCAUCGGGACCCACAGAGACAGGGGGGUCCCACAUAGGGGCACAUGGAGCCCCGUAGAUCCCCAUAGAGACCCAUAGAAACCCAUAGAGCCCCAUAGAUCCCCAUAGAGAUGCAUACGGUCCCAUAGGGACCCAUAGGUCCCACAUAGGGACCCAUAGUGUCCCAUAGGCACCCAUAGAAACCCAUAGAGCCCCAUAGGUCCCCCAUAGAGACACAUAGAGCCCCUUAGAUCCCCAUAGAUCCCCAUAGGGACCCAUAGGGACACAUAGAGACCCAUAGAUCCCACAUAAGGACCCAUAGAGCCCCAUAGAGACUCAUAGGGUCCCAUGGGGACCCAUAGAUCCUAUAUAGGGACCCAGAGAGACUCAUAGGGAUCCAUAGAGAUGGGGGGUCCCACAUAG
ensembl:lncRNA